UCCUAUUUUUUAGCUGACAGAAUCUUCUGCAUUCCUCUCUAAUUUUUUCCUCACAAAGGCUUACUCCUACACUAUGUAACAGGUCAUAUAUCACUCACUCAUACACACGAAUUAGACUACAACUUUCAAAGAUCUUUCAUUUUUCUCCACCCUCAUUUUCAGUACAAAAGCUUCUGAAAUUCCAGUCCUAAAAGCUCUACAAAAAACUAAGAGAUAAAAGGUUCAAGACUUUUUUCUGAGUUUAAAUCUUGUGCUACAAGUUCUGGGUUUAUAGAUGUUGAGGUCAAAGAAGAGUCGCUAUUUUGUUGGAAUUGAAGUUCAGAUUGCUCCUUGUUUCCAUGUUGCUAUUUCACUACUAGUAGGUGCGUUUAUCCAUCUUGUUACUUUCUACUUGAACUAUAAAUAAAAUUAGAUUGUUUAUGAUAUACUCUUGCAAUUAUCCUAAUUUCAACAUGUUUAAUGUCUAAAUUUGUUGUGGUUUCAUACUUAUUAAUCCGUGCAAUUGUUGGAAUGUUAAAAUUAUGUGAGUUGUUUGUAGAAUGUUAAUAGGUGAUUUAACAACUGUUUGAAUGUCAUUCUGUUCUUUUUUUUUUCUUUACUUUCUUUCUGAAAUGUGCGUGAGUUUCAUUAUGUUUACUUCAUUGUGAAGUGAUGUAUGAAUUUGGUUCAUAUUUUCUUUCAAUUUGCUCAGCAUAGUAUUUUUAACAAGUGAGUAUAGCUUUGUAGUUAUUCUGUCACAAAGCUUUACAAGCCAAGAGGAUCAUGAGAUGUGGCGAUUACAGAGAACUAGUUGUUCAUUUGAAUAUGUAACUAGCUUAAAGCAUCAUCAUAAUAUGUAUCCUAUAAUAGAUUUUCAGAUGUAUGAAUCAAUUGUCAAUUGUAUUUAAAUCUAGCAUUAGUUCAGUUUGUUGAAAGUAUUUAAUCAUGGUUCA
rnacentral:lncRNA from 1 species